AAAAUCUGUGGCCUGCUGGAUCACCCUCUUUGUCUCCUGCCUGUGAGAGCAUCAGAAGUGUGAACUGCCCACUUGGCUGCUGGAGGGAAUCCAGAUGGGAGGAGGUCGUUUGUGGCUGAAGCUGAUCGACCCCCAGCCCGGUUGGAACUGCAGCUGGGAUUACGCACAGGUAUUAGCAGAGUAUGGCCACUCCUGCUGGCACUACCUGCUAUUCUCUGGUGCUCAGCAGAAUGAUUUAUCCAUUUAGUGUCAUCCCUGGACAAACCCUGGGGCAAGAGGUGAGUGGAAUCUGCUUGGUUUUCCACCAGCUCUUCCAGCCCUGCUUGUGUUUCGGUGACAAUGAUUGGAAUGUCAGCUCUUUACAACUUUAAAUAACGACUGGAAGCCCUGAUAAAUCGAAAAACAGGUUGGCAGCUAUCACAUCCUGCCCUUGGGGCGGAAUGGAUGGCUGCAAGGUAUGGCCAGAAAGGAUAACAUCUCGUGCUUUGUGAGGUCCCAUCCUGGGCUAAUCUUUGCACUGCUGCAGUUGAAAGGAAAGCACUUUUAGUUUUUAUGCCUUUCGUGCAAAACACUUGGUUUUCUUAUUACGUGAAAGUGCUGAAUGGAAGUUUCUCACUGGACUUAGUUCUUCCUCCUACGAGGUCAAAAUUAACACGAAAACAUCCACUGCUGGAAAAUAAGAGAUUUUUUUUGUGGUGUUUGUUCCCUACUUAACCAUCAGGCACUCAGCUGCUUUCCUGUCCAAGUGGGGGGCAAGCCCAGGACAGGCUUGCAUUUUGUACAAGCAGUCACUGCAGAAUCGUAAGCAACAGAUUAUUUUCUAAAAAUGUCUUUAUUUUUAUUUUUUUUUAUGGUUUCAGACUAUGUUGCUGUGGUUGGGAUGGGGACACAGGUGUUCCUCUGUUUGCGAUUCUCCUCAGAGGCCACCACCCUUACAGCCCCCGCUACCCAAACCUCGCCCCACAAACCCAGUACAAAACACAAAACCUGUGGACGGAGGAAAAACACGACCAGCAAUCGCAAAUUUGUGGCUGGAACGGCAAUUCGGGAAGAACCUUGUGAGAAGACUGCGAGAGUGGGAAUGGGAGGAAAAUAGGGCACGCAAGACAGCUGACAGGCAGCGCCUCUUCCGAACCUGGAUGGAGAUGAGAAAAGCUGCACCCAAAUUUCUCUCCUUGCCCCCACGGGUGCCAGCCCACGGGUCUGGUUUCUCUUUGGAGACGGAGCAGGAGGAGAAGGCAGAAGAUGAAGCCUGUUCAUCACCUGGCUCGUUGAGUUUAGCCCUGAUAAGCCGGGAGAAGCAGAGAAUAACAUGCAAGGAUUUAGGGCAGUGCCAUUUAUACG
rnacentral:lncRNA from 1 species